ACGAAGGGGGCUAGCGUUGCUCGGAAUCACUGGGCGUAAAGCGCACGUAGGCGGACUCUUAAGUCGGUGGUGAAAUCCUGGAGCUCAACUCCAGAACUGCCUUCGAUACUGAGAGUCUCGAGUCCGGGAGAGGUGAGUGGAACUGCGAGUGUAGAGGUGAAAUUCGUAGAUAUUCGCAAGAACACCAGUGGCGAAGGCGGCUCACUGGCCCGGUACUGACGCUGAGGUGCGAAAGCGUGGGGAGCAAACAGGA
rnacentral:rRNA from 1 species